rnacentral:tRNA from 2 species
UGGGGGAUCGUCUAAUGGUAGGACACCGCCCUUUGGAGGCGAGAAUCGGGGUUCGAGUCCCUGUCCCCCAGCCA